UGGGGAAUAUUGGACAAUGGGGGCAACCCUGAUCCAGCCAUGCCGCGUGCGUGAAGAAGGCCUUAGGGUUGUAAAGCGCUUUCAGCGGGGAAGAUAAUGACGGUACCCGCAGAAGAAGCCCCGGCUAACUCCGUGCCAGCAGCCGCGGUAAUACGGAGGGGGCUAGCGUUGUUCGGAAUUACUGGGCGUAAAGCGCGCGUAGGCGGUUUGGUAAGUUGGGCGUGAAAGCCCGGGGCUCAACCCCGGAGGUGCGUCCAAAACUGCUUGACUAGAGACCGAGAGAGGGUGGUGGAAUUCCCAGUGUAGAGGUGAAAUUCGUAGAUAUUGGGAAGAACACCGGUGGCGAAGGCGACCACCUGGCUCGGCCCUGACGCUGAGGCGCGAAAGCGUGGGGAGCAAACAGGAUUAGAUACCCCUGUAGUCC
rnacentral:rRNA from 1 species